rnacentral:rRNA from 1 species
AAGCUCUGUUGUAAGGGAAGAAUGAAUUGGAUAGAAUCCGAUUGUGACGGUACCUUACCAGAAAGCUACGGCUAACUACGUGCCAGCAGCCGCGGUAAUACGUAGGUAGCGAGCGUUAUCCGGAAUUAUUGGGCGUAAAGGGCGCGUAGGCGGCUUGUUAAGUUUAAGGUGAAAGAAUGGGGCUCAACCCCAUAAAGCGUUAGAUACUGGCAAGCUAGAGUACUGGAGAGGGUAGUGGAAUUCCAUGUGUAGCGGUAAAAUGCGUAGAUAUAUGGAGGAACACCGGUGGCGAAGGCGGCUACCUAGACAGAGACUGACGCUGAGGCACGAAAGCGUGGGGAGCAAAUAGGAUUAGAUACCCUAGUAGUCCACGCCGUAAACGAUGAAUGCUAGAUAUCGGGGCAACUCGGUGUCGAAACUAACGCGAUAAGCAUUCCGCCUGUGGAGUAUGCACGCAAGUGUGAAACAUAAAGGAAUUGACGGGGGCCCGCACAAGCGGUGGAGUAUGUGGUUUAAUUCGACGCAACGCGAAGAACCUUACCAGGCCUUGACAUCCCUUGCAAAACUCUAGAGAUAGAGCAGAGGUUAUCAAGGUGACAGGUGGUGCAUGGUUGUCGUCAGCUCGUGUCGUGAGAUGUUGGGUUAAGUCCCGCAACGAGCGCAACCCUUGUCUUCAGUUACCAUCAUUAAGUUGGGGACUCUGGAGAGACUGCCGGUGAUAAACCGGAGGAAGGUGGGGAUGACGUCAAAUCAUCAUGCCCCUUAUGGCCUGGGCUACACACGUACUACAAUGGCUGUUACAACGUGAAGCAACACUGUGAAGUGAAGCGAAUCACUAAAAGGCAGUCUCAGUUCGGAUUGAAGUCUGCAACUCGACUUCAUGAAGUUGGAAUCGCUAGUAAUCGCGGAUCAGCAUGCCGCGGUGAAUACGUUCUCGGGCCUUGUACACACCGCCCGUCAUACCAUGAGAGCUGGCAAUACCCGAAGCCGGUGGCCU